AGAUGUAGCGCAGUUGGUAGCGCGUACGGUUCGGGACCGCAAGGCCGUGGGUUCGAAUCCCGCCAUCU
rnacentral:tRNA from 1 species